rnacentral:misc_RNA from 1 species
UUUCACUUUCAGUACGAGUUUGCAAGCUGCGCUGAAUACGUGCGCGGUUCCGUUCGUUUUUGAUUUGCGCUCUUUGCCAUUUUGGCUUUUAUUAGGUCCGUUAAUUAGUUGUUGUGCGUGCGUUCGAUAUCGGCAAGUGGCGCGCGAAAACCUGUUCCUAGACAUCCUGCCCAAGGACGGCAACAGUUACAAACAAUUUCCAGUAUUAUGCCGAUGAGCCCUUCUUUAUACUACAGACAUACAAACAACUCAAUUAUUCUUGCGCCAAUGUGUUUAUAAAAUAAUAAAUAAUUCUUUCCUAAACCGAAAAAAACUUCGAAAUCUCAAAAAUGGACUCCAAUCACAAGAAUCAUACUUCUAAAGAAAACCCGCGUGGCUCUGUGUCCUCCAUUAAAUCGCUGGAAGUGCCACCCACACCAACGCGAUCGCCGAAGAAGGUAUCUUUCUCGGACGAUUUUCCUUUUAACGAAACAAACGCCACGAUGCCAGCCACUAGCAACACCGCAACCGAUGCGAGUAAUGACAGCAGCGAAGCCAACGAUCACAACAACAGCGUAUUUACAGCGCCGAGCUCCGUCACCGAAGAGGAGCUAACCGCCGUAAAUCACGUGCUGCUACAGGCGGCACAAUAUCUGGAACAAUUGCACGGCGCUCGAGAUCACCAGCCAGAGCCAUAUAGCCCACCACCAACGAGCCACAACGAAAUCAGCACAAGCAGCAAGCAAAUAAAUCUCAAGCAGCCACCACAGAAAGUUAAGCGACUCGCUAAAGUCGGUGGUAGCGGUGGAGCUGCUGCAGCGCCAAAUGUAAGAGCGCAAGAAGUAAAUACCAGCGAUGAUGAAGUGGAUAAAGUGGAAGUGCAUAAAUUACACAACGUCAACACAACUACGCCAACAACAGCGGUAACUUCAGCAACAACAACAGCAACAGCUAACAAUGUUAGCGUAUCACCUGCUGUGAUUGAAUUAGACAACAACAUCGAACAAUCGUCGACAGCGCAGGCACAAGAACAAAAGCAGCACCAGAACCAAAACCAAAUAACCAAAUCACAGUCAAUAGUUUCUACAAAUACCGCACCAACCUCCGGCGCAGCUCCGAGAAAGACAUUCACCACCACCCUCAGCAACGUGCAGCUGGCGGAACCAACUACCUCGGCACAAUUAGAAGAGAUAAGCGAAGAGCAGUCUCACGUGACCAGAUACAUUGACCGCUACAACCUCAAUUUAGAUAAGAAUUUCAGCGCGAUGGAAGUGGAGGCGAGGCGUGAAAAACUGCGCUGGCUACUGAUAUCCGAGUGUAGCGCACUGCUCGCCGAGGGCAAGCACACUCGUGAGGCAUUCCGGAAACUGGUGCUGGAGAAGGAAUUCCAACAAAAGUUCUUCCAUCUCUUCGAUCUCGAAGGAAACGGUUACUUGGUGCAGGAUCGUUGGAUUGAACAUUUAAAAGGACGUCUAACCGAUGAUAGACAAAUGGAUUUCGCCGAACAACUCGAGUCUGUGGCAUAUGUGAUUUGUGGGGAGAACAGUAAGAUCACACCAAAGAACUUUACAGAAAUUUGGCAAGCGCGUGGUAUCCUGGAUAAACUAUACCGUCUGAUCGAUGUUGAUGGCACGAAUCUGAUAUCCACAAAUCAGAUAAUGGAAUUCAUUUCACACCUGACCAACACACGGCCACGCACCGGUUUUGAUAAGAGCUCCCUGGUGCGUCUGGAGCAACUCUUUCGCAGCACUGUGGGCAAUGAACGGGAGAUACGACGUGAAGAAUUUCAGAAAAUAGUAACAUCGAAAAACCCAUUCUUUACCGAUCGUGUCUUUCAAAUAUUCGACAAGGAUAACUCGGGUUCGAUAUCUUUGCAAGAGUUCAUUGAUGCCAUACAUCAAUUCUCCGGCCAGUCAGCGGAUGAUAAAAUACGUUUCCUAUUCAAAGUAUACGAUAUCGAUGGUGAUGGUUUGAUACAGCAUAAAGAACUGCAUGAUGUGAUACGCGCCUGCAUGGAGGAAAAUGGUAUGGAAUUCUCCGAUGAACAAAUUGAAGAUCUGACAACAGCCAUGUUUGAAGAUGCGGAUCCGUAUAAUCGUGGUGAAAUCACUUAUGAAGCUUUAAAAAAUCAAAUUUGCAAACAUGGUGGAUUAUUAGAAAACCUCAGUAUUACCAUAGAUCGUUGGCUUGUGCCCAUGACGCAGGAGACUCCAAAACCGAAGUCCAAAUGUCCGCGACUGCGCUUUGACAAGCCACAUCAACUCACUUUGGCCUACAUGAAAAACAACCAAGCCUUCGUUUCGUAUCUGUACAUCUAUAUUGCCAUAAAUUUGUGCCUCUUCAUCUCACGCGCCAUUCAGUAUCGAGCGAGCAAUGGAUUUGUGAUUGUUGCGCGCGCAUGUGGACAAUGUCUGAAUUUCAAUUGUGCCUGGAUUUUAGUGCUAAUGUUGCGACAUUCUCUUACAUAUCUGCGUUCUCAGGGGCUUUCUUCGUACCUGCCUCUGGAUAACCACAUCUAUCUUCACAAACUGACCGGCAUUGUCGUGUCAAUCCUGAGUCUGCUUCAUACCAUCGCACAUCUUUUCAAUUUCUCCAUAAUUGUGGUGAACGAUCCGAAAAUCAAUGCUGGCCACUACACAAUCGGCGAAUGGCUGCUAACCGAUCGUCCAGGGCUGUUCGGCCUCAUACCGGGCUGUGCUAACCCCACUGGUUUAGCGCUACUAAUUAUCCUGUUAAUAAUGUUCAUUUGCUCACAGCCAUUCGUACGUCGCAAGGGUUCCUUCGAAGUCUUCUAUUGGACGCAUCUAUUGUAUAUUCCAUUUUGGAUUCUACUACUGUUUCAUGGUCCGAAUUUCUGGAAGUGGUUUUUGGUGCCGGGGUUGGUGUACAUAGUGGAGCGUAUAUUGCGUUUUGUCUGGAUGAAAAGUGAACAUGGAAAAACCUACAUCAGUUCCGGUUUACUUUUACCAUCCAAAGUUAUACAUUUGGUCAUUAAGCGUCCAUUUAACUUCAAUUUCCGUCCUGGUGAUUAUGUCUUUGUUAAUAUACCGGUUAUUGCCAACUAUGAAUGGCAUCCCUUCACAAUUAGUUCUGCACCGGAACAGGAGGAUUACAUGUGGCUACACAUACGCACUGUAGGCGAAUGGACCAAUCGAUUGUACCAGUAUUUCGAGAAAGAACAGCAGAAACUGCAAAAUGGCGAAAUCAUACAGCAUCGGCAUGCGAUACCCACCGACUUGGUGUGUAUUACCAAUAAAUCUGAGUCAAAAACAUCCGCAACGCCGCAAAUCGAUUUUCUUGCUCAAAAUCUAGCACGCUUACAUGGCAAACCCGGUGCAAAUGAUUCAGCAUUACUACCUAGUAAAGGCGCAAAUCAAAUGCAAAAUGUUCCCCUCAAACCCGCGCGACACAUACAACAACCCUCAAAAUUGGCCAUUGACAAUACAAAUGCCCGCAAUGAGAAUGAUAUUGGAUCUACGAAGCACGCAGAUCGUAUACGCAGCAUUAAGAAGACGCUGCAACGUACCUUCUCUCGCAAAGAUGUGCCUGCGAAAACGGAGAUCGAUGGUCACUGGAAUGAAGGUUUUGUAGGCGAUCAAGUGGAUUCCAUCCAAAAGCCAUUGGACAAACGCUUACAAAAGUUAAACUCUCGUAAACCACAGCUCGAAAAGAGUCUGUCGCUACCAGAUAUGGCCAUCAAGUCUAAAAAGAAGGAACGUCUCAAAGCUUUACGAGCGCUCGGUCGUUCGGAAUCUGAAAGGUCUUUCGACGAGUCACGUGUCAGGCGUGCGCGACUUCAGAGCGGAGGUUUAGCAUACUUAAGCCCUCAAAAUAAAUCGCUUGCACAGAGUUUUCGUUACAUGCGCAAUAAGCCGACAAUAAUUGCCUUUAGAACACCAAGCCUAGAGGAAGCCGAACCAGAUUUUACGCCAACACCGAGAGGCAAUAUGGACACAUAUAGGGAGCUAGAAGAAGGAAAAGGAAAUGGAGUCGACAAGACCGCCAGCACGACAAUUGAAAUCUCCGAAGCCAGCGUGUCCAAACCGUUGGAAGAUCCAACAGCGCGAACUAAAGUUGGUCGUUUUCGCAGACCGACCUUUUUGCGUUCCCUCUCGACAUCCAUCAAAAAUCGCGGUAGCAAUGGCAGUCUACCACCACAGGGCAACCAUAACUCGGGUAGCAAGGUUACACUAGACGCUGGCGUAUUAGAGGUUUGGGAUUUCAACACACGUUUACAAAUAUGCUUCACGCAUAUAUUUAUGUCUAUGGCAAAUACUAAAAGCUUACAACAUUUUCUUAUUGUCUAAAGAUCUUCAUCGAUGGUCCAUAUGGAGCGCCGUCGAGUCAUAUAUUCGGCGCUCAACACGCUGUGCUCAUCGGCACUGGUAUCGGUGUCACGCCAUUCGCAUCUAUUUUGCAAUCCAUAAUGCAUCGCUACUGGAAGGCUCGGCACACCUGUCCGCGUUGUCAUUUUGAGUGGGCCAGCGAUAUACCGAAAACGGUGAUGAAUUUGCGUAAGGUGGACUUCUUUUGGAUCAACCGUGAUCAGCGCUCAUUCGAGUGGUUUGUAAAUUUAUUGUCACAGCUGGAAAUCGAACAGGCUGAGCUGGGUGGACCAAUGGAGAGAUUCCUAGAUAUGCAUAUGUACAUAACCAGUGCGCUGCAACGCACCGAUAUGAAGGCAGUGGGACUGCAAUUGGCUUUAGAUUUACUACAUGAAAAGGGCAAGCGAGAUCUCAUUACUGGCCUGAAGACGCGCACGAAUGCCGGGCGUCCAAACUGGGAUAAAGUGUUUAAGCAGCUGCAGGCGCAGAAGAAGGGCAAGGUAACGGUAUUCUACUGUGGUCCACCGCAACUAGGCAAAACACUGCGCUACAAAUGCGAUCAGUACGGCUUUGCAUUCCGCAAAGAAUGUUUUUAAUUUAUGUAUAAGUCAAACAAAUAAUUUUUUUUUAUUGUAUUAUUAUUGUGUUUUCUUAUUAUUAUUUAAAGCUCUUUGUUAUUUUAUUAACAACUAAGCUGGGUUUGGUUUUAAAAUAAACUUUAUUGUAAAGCUUAGCCUUAAAUGCCUCAUAACGGUACAUUGUUGUCUGUUUAAGAAUUUGAUGUAUGCUUAAAGAUAUUUAACUUAAAAAUCUUUGAUGAAAUAUUUAUAAACUAUGUAUGUAAAUAUAAAACUCGGUUUGUCCGCAA